AGGUGAGACAGGCUCACAGCUGUGCGUCAGCAUCUGCUGCUGCUCACCAGACUCAGAGGACGAGAGGCUGCGCUCAACAGACACCGACAAACACGCUGCAUUAGUAUCGUCUGGCAAGAUGAAGAGGAAGCAUCUCUCACUGUCUCUAUUCAUAAUGUGCAGCACUUUAUUUGAAUGUACAACCUCGAAUGCUUCCUCAGCUAAACCUCAGGGUCCCAUAUUCCCCCUUAGAUAUCCCUUUAAUCACAGACUUAAAUAACAAUGUGCAAUAAUGUGUUUUGCUUAUUGUUAAUUCAUUUGAGCGUCACCGUGCAGAAUGAAGUAUGUGCAGAGUUUGAUACGAGUAGGCUGUUUUCAGAUGAAUGUGCCGAGGGGGUUUCUCUCUGCUCACCUCAAACUUGGUGGAUUUUAUUUUGUCACAUCGCAAUUGAAAGUCCCAUAAUCUGCGUAAAUACACCGAACUGCAGUUAAAAUAAGGUUAUUUGUUCAUUUACAGAUUGUGGAGUAGACAUAUAGCAAAAAGCAGAUUCUUUUGAUAUGCUUUGAAACAUAUCUUGAGGGGAUCUUUAAGUGGAUUCCGUUGUUAAAAGCUACAGUAUAUUACCCUUAUAUAAAGAAACACAUUCACAUGCAAGAUUAAAUAUAUAUAACUAUUUUCAACUUUACCAGUUAAUGUCCAGUAUGUUGAGCUGAAAUGAACAGAAGUUGACAUCCCAAACCAAAACAUGUAAUCCUGAAUUUGUUUAAAUUGUUAAUGGCUGCAGCAUUACGUCACAUGAAUACAUGUCCUGAGCAUUAUCAUAUGCACAUCUUGUAGACAUUUUUCACGAUAUAUUCUACUUGAAAUCUCCAAGGGUGAAUUAACAUUUUGGAGAUAAAGCCACACUAUAUGGCCUGAAAAUGAUCCGUUCUGCAUUAUAAUUUUAAGGCAAUUCUGUCUUCAAAAUACCGUCUCCACAUUAAGAUAGGCUUCUAUUGUUUUAAUAUAACGUUUAGGGACUGGAAAGUGCGAAAUAUUUCAGACUAAGUGACUACAGCCUGAUGUGGAGAUGAUCUGGCCUCUGUAAACCUGAGGCAAUAAACCGCAGCUACUCCUCCAUGCUAAACCCUGGAGAUCCCUGUCAGAUUGGAUUUGUGUAAGGCCAUCAGGCUGUAACGUGAGGAGGGGAGCAUCUUUCAUGUGCAUUAUGUCCACAAUAGGACUGUGAUCCACCUUGUUCAAGCUAUGGCGUUGGCACGUAUCUCUCGCUCUGCUCCUAAAUAAUUAAAAGCACUUAGUGUGUCAGCGUCAUCGGGGACUCUGUCCACACGUUUGACCUGCCUGAUGGGGUCAAACGCAGAAAACGCAUGACUCUAGGAAUUACUGGGAAAUCUUUGUAAGACAUGUCUCCCAGGCCUUUUUAUUUAGCAGGAUGCAUCUUCUGAGGAUGCGUGUCAGAAGCAUUGUGCUUGAAACUCAUUCAGUUCCCAACAUUCAUACCACUCAAUUCUUGCAAAUGGUAUUCCCCAAAAGACGCAGUUUUCAUUUCAAUAUAUGACAAGUAGGUCUAUAGGUCAGCAACAGAAUAGCACACAUGGAUGCAUGGAGGGAAAAGCUUACCAUUUUGGGGGCCAGGAGUUUCUUUUGUUUUACUAUAGUAGAACUUUUACACUGUUCUACAAUUCCCUACGGUAGAGAUGACAAAAUCCAGGAAGAAAGUCCAAUAUUCUGGUUUUCCCGGUAAGAAUGACCAGACACUCAACUAACUGACACUUGUAUCCAAGGUUGAAUGAAGAGCAAACUAAGAGAAGGGACAGAACGUUGUGUUAUGAUGGUUAACAGUUUACCAGUAAAGUAUUUGAUUAAAAACAAAAACAAAGAUGUCAUAAAGAUGAAAAGUAGUCAUACAUCACAAAGAAGAGAUGAUUUAGGGACUAUAAUAAUAAAUUGGGCAGCACUUUUUAAGACAUGCCUUUUAAAAACCUGUCUCUGCUCCUUGGAGAAAUAGAGAAGUUCCAAGUUUUACAAAUGUACCAAUCAACAUAGCCUUCACAAGACUCCGACUACAGUUGGUAAAACAGAAUCUUUAUAUUGAUAUACUUUUAUCAUCAGAUGCAAUGGAGAUGUUGUAACUAUGUUUUUCUGUAUGAAGAGUGACAGACAUUGUUGAAUAUGUGUAUUCUAUUUGAAAACGGUUCCAAGACAGAGUUUUGGGGAUGCCAAUUAAGAAGCAAUAAACAGGCAGCUGUUCAAAUCACCCCCAGUGUCUAUGAACUGAACACUGUCUCUAUGGGCUUGUAGAGCUGGCUGGGCUCAAUCAUAUCAAAACACUGCCUGUUGUCUUUCGGUAUUCUUUAACAUAGUCUCACUUUAAAACUGUCAACAACAGAUCAAUAUCUUUGAUGGAUUUUCAGACAUUAGAAAGCAUUCCAGUGAAGCCGUGGUGUUGAAUGGCCAAACAGAGGUCAUUGUCAGUGAGGACAAAUAAUAGAUUUUACAGGAGCCCUUACACACUUUUGAGAUCUCACAUUCAGUGUGAAUGGGUUAAGGCCCUGUCACACUGUCCCGAAAUUGACUCCCGAUGGACACACGAAUAUGGAAUUGUGAAUUUCGCACGAAGAUGGCCCCGAACUUGGUCAUCGGCCAAGCAACAGCCGAAGCAACAGCCGAAGCAAGUACGAUGCCUACAGAAGGCCACACGAUGGCACCCGAACCACCCACGAAGGCGACACGUGACCUCCCGAUGGUAUAAAAGCUUUGGCCGUGUGGGAAAUCAAAUUCUUGAUUGGAGAUUAUUGGGAGCAGAACACAAGGUAAAUUCUACUUUAAAUCUACAUUGACAUGCCACCCAAGGCAGGGAGAGGCAGACGGAAGAAGCUGGCUGUUAAAUACACUCAGAAGAGGAAACUGAGGUCCAAGAACACAGCACUGAGUCUGCAACCAGAGAGAGAAAGGGGAGGAAAUGCAAGAAAGUCGGGCCAACUAAAACUCCAGAGCGGCCCCCAGAGGGUUCCAGAUCUCCUCAGCAGUCCGAAGAGUCUUGGCAGCAUUCACCUUCUCCUCGUCGUAACAGACAUCCCGAAUCCUCGGAGGAUGAAGAUGAGUCAGCCUCCCCACCCUCCCUGCAGGCAAGUCCAAGCCUGAAGUGGGCAAGGGCGACAAAGGGAAAGGCAAGGCCCAGAAGGAGAACCCACCCCCUGGUGUAUCAUACAGCUUCACAGAGGCGCAGGAGGAGGCAAUCGCUUGCUGGGUGAAGAGUAAGAAGCUACUGUAUGACAUGAAGGACAAAGAGUACAAAGAGAAGGCAUUAAAGAGGCACCUAUGGGAGGGAAAGGCUGCGGAGUACAGGUUGGAUUAUCAUUCAAUUCUGAAAUGGUAUCAAACAUAGAGGACUCGAUUCUCAAAGCUGCGGGAGGGCCAACCCAAGAAGAAAUCCCAGAAGAGGUCUGGUGAUGGUCUGUCGAGCAGUGACGAGGAAGACCCCAUCCUUGCUGAGGAGGCCAGUGAGAAUGAUAGUGACCGUGACAAGUCCAUCCGCCGGGUCUUUGGGUUUCUGAAGCCACACAUCAGACGUCACAACAAGGAAAUACCAGCUAGUUUUAAGGACAAGUUGGCCCUGGCUGAGACGGGUGAGCUGGCUGGGAGUGACGACAGUUUUGCAGACAAAUCCAGGGAGCCCAACAAGAAGUACACUGGCUACCCUACACCGAGACCUCCUUCCAGGACAGGAACAGCUGCUGAGGACCAACCCGAGUCUCCUAUGGAGAUGAGUUACCGGAGCAUCAUCCCGUGAUCUCCAAGAUAGGCUGGUUCAGUUCAUCACUAGAGAGCAGCCAAAACAAGAUGAGUACAUUGUCGAAUGCUAGAAAAGCAAAUGUGACCCGCUCUAUCGAAAUCUGUCGGAAGUCGCAACGGCUCAUUUCAAAAUAAACGUAGGCCUAUUUAAAAAAAUAGUUUUUCGGGUUUUUUGUUUGAUUUUAAAUAACACUUUUUGGACAAAAGAAAAGGAGCUUCGCUGCCCACUAGU